rnacentral:lncRNA from 1 species
CACUGUCACCCCUGACACCAAAGUUUUGUGGGCAAUGCAACUCAUGACAGGUAUUAUUUUCUGCUUCUUGACAGAACUUUCUAACUUAAUGUUCCUUUACGUUAUAUUUUGCUUCCGUGCAAGGAAGCUGUUUCAAACUUGAAAUUGGUGUGUAUUAUGCAUAGAUAACCGAAUCAGGCACAUUCCAGUAAUGGACAACGGGAAAAUGGUUGGAAUGGUGUCCAUUGGUGACGUGGUUCGUGCUGUGGUGAGUGAGCACCGGGAGGAGCUAAACCGCUUGAAUGCUUUUAUUCAAGGUGGUUACUAGAUAGUGAUGAUGACGAAGAAGUGAGACGCUGCUUUAGUUGACAUGCCGGAAUGACAAACAGUAAUAACCCUCGCCCGAGUGCCUGUAUAUAUCGUGUGUUCGUUUGUGCACCUCCGGUUGUUCGACAAACAGUAAUAACCCUCGCUCGGGUGCCUGUAUAUAUCGUGUGUUCGUUUGUGCACCUCCGGUUGUUCGACAGACAGUAAUAACCGUCGCUCGAGUGCCUGUAUAUAUCGUGUGUUCGUUUGUUCACCUCCGGUUGUUGUUUGGUUCUGUACUUCCAGUUACUGUCUAAUUACAAACCUGUGGGACUAUCAAGUACUUAACAAUAAGCAAUGUUAUGUUUUGCUUAAAUCGUCUUUCUUUCUCCAGUCGAUGGUAGCGCGUGCGUACCUUGUAUUUUGCAUCGCACACGUUUAUGUCGAAACCAUAAUCUUGAAUCUCGUUUGGUGUUUAAGCAUGCAAAUCAAGCUAGUGUUCAAAUAUACUCGUUUGAAGUGUUUUUAAAAUGAUUGAAAAUGUUUU